rnacentral:RNase_P_RNA from 1 species
UGAGUUGGUCGAGCUAUCGCUUAUUUUUAUAAGAGGAAAGUCCGGACUUCAAAGAGCAAAGUGCCAGUUAAUUGCUGGGGGACGUGAGUCUACGGCUAGUGCAACAGAAAACAAACCGCCAUUUUAUGGUAAGGGUGAAAAGGUAAGGUAAGAGCUUACCGCCUAAGUAAAAUUAGGGCAUGGCAAACCCCACUUGAAGCAAUGCCAAAUAGAGAUCUAAAUACGUUGCUCGCGUAAGAUCAGGGUAGGCAGCAUGAAUGUUUUGGUGACAAAGCAUCUAGAUAAAUGAUGGCUAUAACAGAAUCCGGCUUAUAGACCAACUCACUCC